AGAGGGAUAGCUGGGUCAAAUGGUGGUUCCAUUCCCAGAUUUCCAAGGAAUCUCCAUACUGCUUUUCAAAUUGGCUGUACCAAUUUGCAGUCCCAUCAGCAAU
rnacentral:pre_miRNA from 1 species